GACGAACGCUGGCGGCGUGCCUACCUCAUGCAAGUCGAACGGAACUGUUUUGAAAGAUUUCUUCGGAAUGAAUUUGAUUUAGUUUAGGGGCGGACGGGUGAGUAACGCGGGAGUAACCUGCCUUCAAGAGGGGGAUAACAUUCUGAAAAGAAUGCUAAUACCGCAUGACAUAUCGAAACCACAUGGUUCUGAUAUCAAAGAUUUUAUCGCUUGAAGAUGGACUCGCGUCCGAUUAGUUAGUUGGGGAGGUAACGGCUCACCAAGACCGCGAUCGGUAGCCGGACUGAGAGGUUGAACGGCCACAUUGGGACUGAGACACGGCCCAAACUCCUACGGGAGGCAGCAGGGGGGGAUAUUGCGCAAGGGGGGCAACCCUGACGCAGCACCGCCGCGUGAAGGAUGAAGGUUUUCGGAUUGUAAACUUCUUUUAUUAAGGACGAAACUUGACGGUACUUAAUGAAUAAGCUCCGGCUAACUACGUG
rnacentral:rRNA from 1 species